rnacentral:pre_miRNA from 1 species
CCGGGACAGAACCACAGGGGGGGCGGCGGCGAGCGGGACCUGGUCGCCUAGCCGCCCCCGCGCCGCGUGGCGUCCGCG